rnacentral:rRNA from 1 species
AUUGCAGGCUGAAACCCGCCUGUAUGAAGUUGGAAUUGCUAGUAAUCGUAGAUCAGCAUGCUACGGUGAAUACGUUCCCGGGCUUUGUACACACCGCCCGUCACACCACGGAAGUUGGGGGCGCCCGAAGCCACUUAGCUAACCCUUUUGGGAAGCGAGUGUCGAAGGUGAAAUCAAUAACUGGGGUGAAGUCGUAACAAGGUAUC